UGCUGGGCUGCUUGGAUGCAGGCACAGAGCAACAGAGAGCUGCGUUCAUGGGAUGGAGCUUAGAAAGAUGGAGGCGACAGAGGAACAAGGAGGUCCGGGGGAGCAGAUGGGAGUAGAGAAAGGCAGGGCAUGGAAGGGAGUGCACAAAUACUGCUCAUGAGUUGCUCGCUGGAUAGUGAGGGAAGGAAAGAAAGGGGAAGGUUGACGGCUCAGGAGAUGGUGGAGGACAGGCGGUGCCGGGGAUGCUGAGGGAGGGCUGGAGUGGGAGCAGAGGAUAAACCCCCGGCAGUGGGGGAGGUGACAGUCACGCGGAGGAGCGCUCGCAUUAGAAGCUUUGGAGGAGUAGAGUGACAGGAUGCUUAUGGAGGUGACAUAGGCUGACGUCUGGAUGCCAUCCAGCCCAGCACCUGGGAAGAUGAGAAUAAGAGUGGAGAAUCCACAGCUGAUGACAGCAAGGGUGUGGACUUGUUGCAAGGAAGGCCAGGCUGUCCACGCGACUCAGCAGCUGCACAACGUGACCAACAGCCGAUGAGAAGAAACCCUGGACGUCCCCCUCUAGAACAACCAGUGGACGUUUCCCACAUUUGUUGUACUUAUUAUUUAAUAUUAUUAUUAUUAUUGGCAGUAGUGGUAGCAGCAGUAGUCUUUAUAAAAACCUUUGAGAGUAAACUGCAGACUUCAUGAUGCUUUACCUCUUAAAUUCGUAUGUCUCCUAAUAGCAAAGACAUUCUUUCCCACAGUAAAGUGACCAAAUCUGGGAAAUUUAACAAUGAUACAAUAUUAUUACGUAAUUCACAGUCUAUAUUCAAAUUUGCCAAUUGUCCCAAUGAUGUUCUUUAUAACAUUUUUUUUUCCAAUUCAGGAUCACAUAUAAUUGUCAUGUGCUUUUUUGCCUUAUACAAGAAAUAUUUGUCUAUUCCAGUGUCAC
rnacentral:lncRNA from 1 species